UAGGGAAUAUUGGACAAUGGGGGGAACCCUGAUCCAGCCAUGCCGCGUGGAGGAAGACUGCCCUCUGGGUUGUAAACUCCUUUUAUAUGGGAAGAACCGUCCUCAUUGGUGAGUGACCUGACGGUACCAUAGGAAUAAGCACCGGCUAACUCCGUGCCAGCAGCCGCGGUAAUACGGAGGGUGCAAGCGUUAUCCGGAUUCACUGGGUUUAAAGGGUGCGUAGGCGGAUAUGUAAGUCAGUGGUGAAAUCAACGGGCUCAACCUGUUAACUGCCAUUGAUACUGUGUAUCUUGAAUAUGAGAGAGGUAGGCGGAAUGUUGCAUGUAGCGGUGAAAUGCUUAGAUAUGCUACGGAACACCGAUUGCGAAGGCAGCUUACUAUUUCGUAAUUGACGCUGAGGCACGAAAGCGUGGGUAGCGAACA
rnacentral:rRNA from 1 species